GAUGAACGCUGGCGGCGUGCCUAAUACAUGCAAGUCGAGCGAACAGAUGAGGAGCUUGCUCCUCUGACGUUAGCGGCGGACGGGUGAGUAACACGUGGAUAACCUACCUAUAAGACUGGGAUAACUUCGGGAAACCGGAGCUAAUACCGGAUAAUAUAUUUAACCGCAUGGUUCAAUAUUGAAAGACGGUUUUGCUGUCACUUAUAGAUGGAUCCGCGCCGCAUUAGCUAGUUGGUAAGGUAACGGCUUACCAAGGCAACGAUGCGUAGCCGACCUGAGAGGGUGAUCGGCCACACUGGAACUGAGACACGGUCCAGACUCCGACGGGAGGCAGCAGUAGGGAAGCUUCCGCAAUGGGCGAAAGCCUGACGGAGCAACGCCGCGUGAGUGAUGAAGGUCUUCGGAUCGUAAAACUCUGUUAUUAGGGAAGAACAAAUGUGUAAGUAACUAUGCACGUCUUGACGGUACCUAAUCAGAAAGCCACGGCUAACUACGUG
rnacentral:rRNA from 1 species